UAUCUAAAAAAAACAGCUAGACAAAUAGUUAUGUCCAAAUUGUAAUUAAUCACUUAAACGUAAACACACAGGGGCAGACUACAAUGAUGAGACACUAGAUGCCUGAAUUACAGGCUACGACUCGGCCCCUGGUCAAGUAAAAAGACCUCCAUACUGGAGCGUGAAAAAGGCCAGAUGUGUUGCUAACUUGUGGGAGAGGGUAUGCUUGUAUAUUUCUACAGAAUGCAGAUUCUUCGAUUUGGAUCUCAGACAAAUUCGUCAUGUCACGUUCCCCAAAGACCAGGUUCGCGGCGCGCACUCGCUCGCUCCCCCUCCCCCAGCCAGCUCUCGCCUCCGCGCCGCCAGCAGCGCCCGGUACCCUUCUCGCUGCACCCCGCGACCUAGAGCAAAGAAGUCUGUGCGGCGAGUGAGGGCCAGAGAGGAAAGCGCGCCCGCGGAAUGCAGUCCAGACCAGCGCGCUCCCGCAGGCGAGAGGGGAACGCUGGGAGCCCAAGCCGCGGCGGCUAGCCCAAGGCCGCGAGCCCCGCCCCUCCGCCCGCCGUAAGCGCCGAGGCCCACAGCCUGCCGCUCGCGUUCUGCCUCCUGAUGCUGGGGACACUGCUCCCCCGGGCCGACGCCUGCAGCUGCUUCCUGGCUCAUCUUGUUUAAACCCUCAAUAUAAUGUUUGCUCCUUUGUGGUAGUGGUGUUGUGAACAAUGAUUCUUCGGCAGAGCAUUCAGAGGCUCGCGACUGAGCUACAUCUGGCUGUUUUAAGAAAUAAAAAAGGGGGAGAUGCCGGGAGCCGGCGAG